rnacentral:rRNA from 1 species
UACAGAGGUCUCAAGCGUUGUUCGGAUUCAUUGGGCGUAAAGGGUGCGUAGGCGGUUUGUCGCGUCUGCCGUGAAAGUCCGGGGCUCAACUCCGGAUCUGCGGUGGGUACGGGCAGACUAGAGUGAUGUAGGGGAGACUGGAAUUCCUGGUGUAGCGGUGAAAUGUGUAGAGAUCGGGAGGAACACCGGUGGCGAAGGCGGGUCUCUGGGCAACUCCUGACGCUGAGGCGCGAAAGCGUGGGGAGCAAACGGG